rnacentral:rRNA from 1 species
GAUUGAACGCUGGCGGCAGGCCUAACACAUGCAAGUCGAGCGGAUGAAGGGAGCUUGCUCCUGGAUUCAGCGGCGGACGGGUGAGUAAUGCCUAGGAAUCUGCCUGGUAGUGGGGGAUAACGUCCGGAAACGGGCGCUAAUACCGCAUACGUCCUGAGGGAGAAAGUGGGGGAUCUUCGGACCUCACGCUAUCAGAUGAGCCUAGGUCGGAUUAGCUAGUUGGUGGGGUAAAGGCCUACCAAGGCGACGAUCCGUAACUGGUCUGAGAGGAUGAUCAGUCACACUGGAACUGAGACACGGUCCAGACUCCUACGGGAGGCAGCAGUGGGGAAUAUUGGACAAAGGGCGAAAGCCUGAUCCAGCCAUGCCGCGUGUGUGAAGAAGGUCUUCGGAUUGUAAAGCACUUUAAGUUGGGAGGAAGGGCAGUAAGUUAAUACCUUGCUGUUUUGACGUUACCAACAGAAUAAGCACCGGCUAACUUCGUG